GGGGGGGGGGGGGGGGGGGCGGGGCGGGGGGGGGGCGGGGGGGGGGGCCCUGCUUGUGUGGGGUGCUCGAGUGGCGAACGGGGGCGUAACAGGGGAGUAGCCGGCCCUUGACGUUGGGAGAACUUCAGGAAACUGGGGCGACUACCGGAUAUGCGCUCCUGCUGCCUGGUGGGGGUUGGAACGCUUCGGCGGUUGGGGAUGGACUCGCGGCUUAUCAGCUUGUUGGUGGGGUAGUGGCUGACCAAGGCUUUGACGGGUAGCCGGCCUGAGUGGGUGACCGGCCACAUUGGGACUGAGAUACGGCCCAGACUCCUACGGGAGGCAGCAGUGGGGGAUAUUGCACAAUGGGCGGAAGCCUGAUGCAGCAACGCCGCGUGCGGGAUGACGGCCUUCGGGUUGUAAACCGCUUUCGCCUGUGACGAAGCGUGAGUGACGGUAAUGGGUAAAGAAGCACCGGCUAACUACGUG
rnacentral:rRNA from 1 species